UUAAGAGUCUUUCUGCCAGCCAAAUAGUUGUUGCUGAGGACUUGAUAUAUAAGGAUGCCAAAAGCUAGGAUGCUCCCAGAAUAGAAUUAUGUUUUAGGAUUCAGCAUAGUUAAAGUGGAACAUUAAGGUGAAAAAGCAAAAAGUUGAGCAUACUUACAGUGGAGUGCAACAACACACUGCAAAGAAAAAUAGGAAGAAUUCCAGAAAUGUGGCCCUGGUAUGUGAAAGCCCCAGGAAGUAAAUGACCUGAGCACAUGCACCAACUUACUGCCUGGUUUUGGACUUGGCAGUGUGGAGGAGAAAAGAUGGAAAGAAGUAAAAAAAAACAACUCAGGCAGCUAUAACCGACUCCAUAGUGGAGGCUGGUGAUGAGAACCUGCCGACAGCAAAGCGUUUGAAGACAUCUAUUGAAACGGAGAGGAGGAGGCUAACAGAGAAGUAAAAGGAAGUUUGAGGUGUGAAAAUUUGCAUGUCUGUGUAUUUAUACAGAUGAUAUUAGUGAGAUCUAAAAAGAAAGAGCGGAAGCUGGAAAUUCCUGCACACUGUUCAGAAUAUCGCACAUUCCCAAACAUCAUUCUGUGUGUGAGGUUUUGACACCUUUAGCAUCUCCAGCAGGCAAGCAAUGUGCCAUAAGUAUUGGAAACUGCUAAAGAUCUUGUCAACUGACUAAGAGAAAAUGACAGCUGUUUUUUUUUUUAUUAAACAUUAUGUAAAACACUAACACAUAGGCCUGCCAUGUUAAAUCCUCCCUCGGGGUACUUGGCCUCACAUGUGUAAGCCUAAAGCAGCUUUUGCUGGAAGCAAAUGAAGCUGCAAAUCUAUCCUGCAACUACGUCUGAAAGCUAAAAUACUAAUGAGGCUCUAGCAGAUGCUGAAAAGUGCUACAGCAAUCAUCUGGCUGCUUGGCCCCUCUUCCAUUCAGGAUAUGUUUUGGAUGUUAUGAAUUUAUGCAAUUGUGAAAAGGUGUCAGGAAAAGCUCAGGGGACUUGCCUGCAGCAGGGCAAAUUUUCUGAAGAAAGAGUCCUGAUGCACUGGUGAUACAGCAAGAGGGGUGGUAUUGGGAUGCCUCCAAUCACUCACAGGUUUGGAGCUAGCAGAGAGGGAAGAGGAAAAGGGGUAGUGAUCUCAGGCACUCAGGUAGUGAAAAUGGCACUAGGAGACCCACUGCAGUAGAGAAGAAGAAGGUAGGAGGAAUACCAUAGCUCAUUCUUUAGAGUAGAAGGACAAUACAGAGAGGUUAAAGUCAGACAUGAAGGGAAGGAACAGCAACAAAGUUUCCCACACAUUCACAGAGAAACUGUGAUCCCAGUCACCUAUAGAGGUGUUGGGGGAAAGGGCACAGGCCCCUUCUGGGAAACACCCAUGAAUGGUCAGGACAACCUGCCCCAGACAACUUACCAGAAGUCUGCAGGAUCUCCAGGCAUUCCUUUGAUAAGAAAGGGGAAGUCUUACCCCUAUUCCUUAUUUGCCACAACAGUGUUUAUGCAGGGCCACAAACAGCAGCAACAGAGGUAGAAGAAAAUCUCACUCUCCCCCUUUAAAAUCCCCAUCUUAAGCCAUAACAGUAAUAGUAACAUGUAUUUUUCAUCAACAGCUCUCAAAAUAUUUUAUGGAAGGAAAAUAACCACUUAUUCUCAGUUCACAGAACCAGGCAUGAAUUAGUAACAGACUUUCCUAAAGCCAGAGAAGAAAUGAGGGAACUGCAGAAGGGCUGUGUUUGGGAACUACCAGGUCUCCUUCCUCUUCAAACAGGGAAGAGGCUAGGACUCAAGAAAAGACCCCCUCUACUUCCACUUGUUUUCAUGCCAGUUUGCAUAUCAGAAAUGACCAAAUGUGGCAAAAGCAAAGCCAAACUAAAUACAUAUUGGGUUUGAUAUCAAGGAUACAACUUUUGCAGAGGACUUAUACUACCGCUUUGCUGAGAAAAUAUUUGAAUGGAGUGGAACCAAUUGGCAAUUGUCAUGUGUUAUUUGCAAGUGAAUACACCAGAUCUUUUACUGCACUGAGAAAACAAAUAAUCAGACCCCCAAAUUCAUGUACUUUCCCUUUAGAAAAAGCCACAUUGUGUUGUUACAUCAGCAAUUGAAAUAUGACAGGGUGCUUGUGUUUAUACUCAGAGAAGUCAUAUACAGAUUCCAUCUGUUCAACAUUUGGAGCAAAUUUGCAGUGAUUACUCAGGCUGAAAAUUGCUUUGGAGCUUUGUCUGCUGUUGCUUCAUUUGAAAUAAAUCACCGAUGCGGUGCCUCACUUCUGAACACAGACAUGCAAGUCAAAAUGAGAAGACAGCAGCAGAACUUUGGCUAUUCUGACUUGCAAGACAUUCAGGUGUUGUUGACAGUUGCAGGGUGGUUUUCACAUAGGCUUUGGAGAAACCCAAGAAGAGCUGAAGCUGCUGCUGAAUUAAUUUUCUGGAGCUUUGUCUUUGCAAACUAAGACUCAUUCCUCUUUGGACAAAGUCCAUCCCAUGCCAUGGGCUCUGAGACAGAGCCAU